rnacentral:rRNA from 1 species
AAUAGAUACCCCGGUAGUCCACGCCGUAAACGUUGGGCACUAGGUGUGGGUCUCAACCAACGGGAUCCGUGCCGCAGCUAACGCAUUAAGUGCCCCGCCUGGGGAGUACGGCCGCAAGGCUAAAACUCAAAGGGAUUGACGGGGGCCCGCACAAGCGGCGGAGCAUGUUGCUUAAUUCGAGGCAACGCGAAGAACCUUACCUGGGUUUGACAUUCUGGGAAAAGCCACAGAGAUGUGGUGUCCGAAAGGGUCCAGAACAGGUGGUGCAUGGCUGUCGUCAGCUCGUGUCGUGAGAUGUUGGGUUAAGUCCCGCAACGAGCGCAACCCUCGUCCUAUGUUGCCAGCACGUAAUGGUGGGGACUCGUAGGAGACUGCCGGGGUCAACUCGGAGGAAGGUGGGGACGACGUCAAGUCAUCAUGCCCCUUAUGUCCAGGGCUGCAAACAUGCUACAAUGGCCGGUACAAAGGGCUGCUAUACCGCGAGGUGGAGCGAAUCCCAAAAAGCCGGUCUCAGUUCGGAUUGGAGUCUGCAACUCGACUCC